AACCUGCCUAUGGUAUGGGUCUGGGUAUCAUUGGAGAGAGAGAAGGAGAUAAAAAUAGAUAGUGAUGGACCCGCCCUAGGCGCGGGUCCGUGCGUUUAGGUGGACAAGAUAAAAAUGAAGGAUGAUAGACCUGCCCUAGGUGUGGUUCCGUGCAUUUAGACGGGUGACAGAGAGAGAGAACGAGAUGAAGAUGAGGGAUGACGGACCCGCCUAGGUGCAGGUCCAUGCGUUUUAGACGGGUGUGAGAGAGAUACGUAGAUGAGGGAUGACGAAAGACGGGCUGUGCCUAGGCGAGGGCCCAAGCAUUUUUCGUGAGAAAAGGGGUUCGUCCGAGUUUUUUUUCGUGAGAGAGGAGGUACGUCCGAGUUUUAUAAGUGUGAAUGGGUGCAUUUUCACCCAUUUCAUCCUCACCUCUCUUGUUCUUCUAGAGAGAAAGUGAGAGGGACCUUUCUUUAAAGAGAAAAAGUGACCUUCAAGAUAAUAUAUUUGGGGACCAUGGCUAUACUUCUAACCCCCAGUCAUAAUUCUUGAAGCGAACCAUUUACCGCGUCUUAGAGACUUGGGCACUGAUGCAUAUAAAGGUGCUUCUUUUACAAGAUCCACAAACCUUGGUGUCUUGAAAUCACUCAGAGGCUGGAAUGGCCCUUAAGCGUCACCUAUGUAGGUGAAGACACUCAGUUUUAUCUUUAUGAAGAUGCAAAUGGUGAACCUGUGAUUCAAGGAGAUGGUGUACCCAUGUAUCAUUCGCUUCAUAGGAAUUUUGAUUCAAGUGAGAAUCUCCCCACUCUAGGGAAGAGAAUGAUGGAGAAAGAAGGCCUUCAUUGGGAAUCUAGUGGACUCCGGUUUGAGGGAGAGCACCAAUACAUGCGGGGGUAUAGCACAUGGAUGUUUGAUGUCCUUCAAUCGCAUGCUAAGGAUGUAGUAGCAUGUGCUUUAUCUGCAGCUUGCCAAUGCUCAGCUAGUUACUACAAUAGGUGCUCAAAUACAAUCAAGGCCCUCUUGGAGCUCUGGUGUCAUAAAGUAACAGCUGGCACCUUCAUCACAAUGAAGAGGGAAUUACCCUCCUUGACAUGUACUUCAAUGGUGGGUUGCCCAUGCUGGGGGCCAUGUAUGAAGGGUUCAUCCCCAGUAACGGGCUAAUUUUUGGAACUCAAACCAUCAAUGGUGAACCACACGCUUCAGGUCUUCGUGAGUUGUUCGAAAUUUACCAACUCCUACUUUCAGAGACCAAGACCAAAUCCAAGAUAAUGCAUUUCAAUGCAUGAAGGGAUUUCUUUCAUGAGAAUCUUCAAGAUAAAGAGGAACCCAAUUCCAGUGCCGUCUGGGAUGAUGAUGAGCAAGAGGUGGAAGAAGAGACCAAGGAUCUAGUGAACCCUCCUAGAAGGCCUGAAAAGGACCAUGUGUACUGGCUACAUAUCUCACUCUCUUUUUGUGCAAAUUGCACUCCCAAGGUCAAAGGGUAAUGCCAUCCAUCCUGGUUGCUUCUUUGUGGCCUAUAGCCUUGCUCAAGGGCGUAAAUAUUCCUUGGCCCAACCAGUCCUUUAUAGCAUAUACCACAGUUUAGGAGCAAUUGCAUGUGGUAAGGUAGCAUCUAGAGAUAGCAAGAGUGAGUCUUUUGACGGAGAGGUCUUACCUGGCCGUUUCAAAACGAGCUUCCAUGUUCAUUAUAUCUUUGGCUAGCUCUCAGCAUACUUUCCCAAGAAAUAAUCUCCUCCUUAUACCCCCAGAGCAUAUGAGAUCAAUGAGGCUUUGUCAGAGUAUACUUGCCCUCAAAUGUUGAGGAUUGUUGGGAUGAAGGCCAUAUUUAGAGGACCAAGCGAGGCACAUUGAUUCCUAGCUGACCACUCCUUCUUCUCUCGUGGGGACCCCUUUCCUGUAGGUGGUCCCACUGACCGUGUUUACACAAUUGCUUUUGGUGAGGCCUUUGAUGGACAUACCACUAAGACCCGAGAAGCCAUGUAUCUCCUAAGUGCUAGGGGAUGCAUCUUACCUUAUAGGGGUGUCAGAGAUAAGAAGCUUGAAGCUACUUUCCCCACAGAUUUGCACGCCAACAUAGCUCAGACCAAGGGUGCUCCUUCUCGAUACUUUUUGCGAAGAAGUAUGGGAAGAAGGGGUCUCAACAAUACCAUGAUGCUCCAGGUGAAAGUCGUGAAUCCUAGACAGGUAGCAACAAGAGAAUGACUUGGGAAACCUGUCUUGCUCGUACUGGCUUGAGCAAGUUUGUCAUCCCCCAUUAUGGUCAUGUAGGCCAUGCCACUGAGGGUUAUUAGCAGUGGUGGAACACCACCAACCGUUCUUACUAGAAGGCAACCCAUGCAUGGAAGGCCAUCAAUAGUACUAAGCAUGAUACAAGGCACAUGAUGCAUUUCACACCUCCAUUCUUCUUCAAGGUUUACAAACUUGAUUACCCCUUGGACUGGAAGGGGCUUGGAUAACCUUGAUCAUUAGCCAUGGACCAUACUAGCAUCCAAUAUCUCUCAUUUGAAGGUGAAUCCAGGUCUUUUUUUUUAUGACCUUUGUUCAAUCUUCAAGUGGACCAAGGGUCGUGCGGUCCCUGGUUAUGUAGGUCGUCAUGUUCAACACCUCAAUGCUUUUAUAACGAGUGGAUUGCAUUCAGCUCCGGUUGCCAAAUCUCGCUAUGGUCAAAAGACCAAGAUUGCUCGUUCAAAGUCAAGAUAUGAGGCAACUCCAGAGAAGAGGGUAAAGAAGAAAGGGACAAAGAAGAAGAAGGGCAUAAAGAGCCCCGAACCCAGUAGUACUGUAGAACUUGAGGUUCGUAGAAAGAGUACCCAACUGAGCAAGAGGGCUUUGUCAAGUCCAAAUGCAUCUCAUUUGGUUCCAUUUGCUUCAAGUGAAGGAUUUGAUUUACCUCCCAGGUCGAAGAAGUGUAAAAAGACGAAGGCGCCAGCUAGCCCAACUCUAUCAUCAGAGGCAGCAUCUCCCGUUCAAGAGACAAUUCCUGAAAUUGUCACAACCCAACUAAGUUCAUCUAGUCAGACUUCCUUUGGCUUGAGCUGUUGACCAGAAAAGUCCCUCUCUUGUGGUAGAAAUAGGGGCACCCAUCGCUGACAACCCAAUUCAUCUUGAAUUAGACUCUCUCAUCAUUGAGCCAGGGAGACUUUCUCUGCACUAUUACUGAAGAAGGGAAUAUUCUUGAAGUUGAGCCUGAAGCAAUCGGUGUGGCUCCAGACAUCGAAACAACAACUUCAAAAGUGCCCGCUCGAACUAAUUAAGAAGCAGAGCCCCAACCAGAUGCUUCUUCAAGUAAAACUUUGGAACUUGUAGUUGUUCAUAUUCCUGAAGUGCCAAUUUCAGCAAUUCCAAAUGUAAAGCUCCCAUCCAAGCCAGAUGCUCCUUCCAGUGAGUCCUUGGCCCUUGUUUCUCAAGAACCAGCGAUUGUUGCUAAAGUUGCACCCCUUGUGGUGAUUAGUUCUUCAUAUUUGCCUUCUUCGGUGUCAAGCACCAUGUCAAAUAGGAAGACUUUGAUGGUAGAGAACUUGUUAUAGUCAAUUCUUCAAGGGCUAAAGGAAUGCUUCCUCUCUGAUCUUGCAGCUGAGAUUAUUGCAGUCAGGGACUGUGCUACUGCUUUGAUGAUUGUUAGCUAUGAAAAGGAAACCUUUGAACUAUUCAAAGGUCUUUUUAAUGACCUUGAACGAUGGAGAGUCCAGCGUUAAGCUGAAAUGCAACAAUUAUGUGGGGGUCGCCUGGCUUCUUUAGAGGACUCCUUGGCUCAGCAUCAGAGCCUCAUAAUGAGCGAUAAGGAUAAGAAGGUCUCUGUCCUUUCUCAUCAGACUAGCUUCAAAAAUGAAGACACUAUAUAUUCUGCAAAGAUAAAGGCUACAGAGGAAGAAAGGAAAAGUUGGAAACUUAUAUCCACCGGUUGAAGACUGAGCAGGAUCAGAAGAGAGAAGAGGCUCGAAGCAAGUCUCAGGAAUUAGAAAAAUUGGACUCCGAGGUGGCCUUGACCAACACAUUGUCAAGUUAAAUUACUCAGGUGAUCUCCCACCUCCAAGAGCAUAUGAAUAUGGCCUCAGAGCACUCAAAAGUGUUGAAGACCAAGAUUCAUGAAGCCUUUGACAAUUUCUAGGGGCUCAUGAAUUAUUUACUCUUUUUGCUUGUUCUAUCUUUUUUUCAUUUCUUUUGCAUAUUUUUGAUAACUGUAACCAUAAUUUUGUAAUCUUCUAUUAUGUGGAAUGAAUGCUAUUUUCUUUCU